UACACCUGGCUAAUUUUUGUAUUUUUUCUAAAGAGAGGGUUUUGCCGUGUUGCCCAGGCUGGUCUUGAACUCCUGAGCUCUAGUGAUCUGCCCACCUCGGCCUCCCAAAGUGCUGGGAUUACACACGUGAGCCACCGUGCCUGUCCUUUUUUGCUCCUUUUAUCUUUUUAGUUUAUAAGCAGACUGCCUAUCUCAGUCCCUCAGAUUGCCAGUUGUUGGUUCUGAGAAAAUGGAUUUAAGUGGAUUUAUUAACUUCCCUCUGCUUUAUGCAUUCUCACUUCUUCCUGUGUUUAAUUUGUUUGUAGUUGACUGCAAGGCCUCUGAGGCACGGGAAUUCACAGCUGAGUUCUUGGAGAAGGUCCUUGAGCCAUCUGGAUGGCGGACAGUCUGGCACAUGAUGUGCUCAAGGUGCUGCUUGAGGCCACAGAUGUGGACAUUUCAGCCUUGAAGGCAGUGGUGCAGCUUGCUGAGCCAUACCUCUGUGAAUCUUGAGCGAGUACUUUCACCUUGGAGUGUGUGAAAGAGCUCCUCGAGCUGAAGGAACAUCAGUUGCCCCUGAAGGAGCUGGGUGGUGUUUGAUGAUUCUGGAGACAGCACUUGUAACUUGUAACUGAGCAUGUCAGCUAGGAAGGAGGUAUCUGGUCAGAGAAGGUGUUUUCUGAGGCUGCUUCCUGGAUCCCUAGGGUUUGUGUUCCUGCCAUUCAGCCUAUUUGGCAGUUAUUUCCACCUGUACAAACAGACCCUUUGUCCCUUACAUGAGAAAGAAAGCCCACACCUGGAUUCAUAUUAAUAG
rnacentral:lncRNA from 1 species